rnacentral:tRNA from 1 species
GGAGAGGUGGCUGAGCGGUUGAAAGCGGCAGUCUUGAAAACUGCUGAGGCUUUCGGGCCUCCGUAGGUUCGAAUCCUACCCUCUCCG